AUUGAACGCUGGCGGCAGGCCUAACACAUGCAAGUCGAACGAGUGGCGGACGGGUGAGUAAUGUCUGGGAAACUGCCUGAUGGAGGGGGAUCACUACUGGACACGGUAGCUAAUACCGCAUACCAUCAGAUGUGCCCAGAUGGGAUUAGCUAGUUGGUGGGGUAACGGCUCACCAAGGCGACGAUCCCUAGCUGGUCUGAGAGGAUGACCAGCCACACUGGAACUGUGACACGUGCCAGACUCCUACGGGAGGCGUCAGUGGGGAAUAUUACACAAUGGGCGCGAGCCUGAUGCAGCCAUGCCGCGUGUAUGAAGAAGGCCUACGGGUUGGAAAGUACUUUCAGCGUUGCGGCCUUACCCGUAGAAGCAGCGCCGGCUAACGCCGUACCAGCCGCCGCGGUAAUUC
rnacentral:rRNA from 1 species